UACGUAGGCAGCGAGCGUUGUUCGGAAUUACUGGGCGUAAAGAGUGUGUAGGCGGUGCUCUAAGUUCGGUGUGAAAUCUCCCGGCUUAACUGGGAGGGUGCAGCGGAAACUAGAGUGCUAGAGGGUGGGAGAGGUAAGCGGAAUUCCUGGUGUAGCGGUGAAAUGCGUAGAUAUCAGGAGGAACACCUGUGGUGUAGACAGCUUACUGGACCACUUCUGACGCUGAGACACGAAAGCGUGGGUAGCAAACAGG
rnacentral:rRNA from 1 species